rnacentral:rRNA from 1 species
CCCUAUUAUUUUAGAACGUUAAAUUUUGUGCCUGAGUAGUAUUAGUUAUGUUCUUGAAACUUAAAGAAUUUGGCGGUAUCUCAUUCCGUCCAGAGGAAUCUGUCCCGUUAUCGAUAGUCCGCGUUGGACCUUACUUAUUUGAUUUUGGUUUGUAUACCGCCGUUUAUUGAUUAUCUUUUUAGAGGUUAUGUUAAUUUUCUGGUUUCUUCAAUUUGAUAUAUUUCAGGUCAAGGUGCAGCUUGUUUUUAAGUGGAAUGAUGGAUUACAUUGUUAUUUGUUUAUGGAUUGUUUGUUUUAAUAUUGGCAUGAAAUUGGAUUUGGUUGUAAUAAUUUGUAGAUUGUCAUUAUGAUAAUUGGUUCUGAGAUAUGCACACAUCGCCCGUCGCUCUCGUUUGUUUAUUAUAAUGAGAUAA